rnacentral:rRNA from 1 species
UUCGCAAUGCCCGAAAGGGUGACGAAGCGACGCCGCGUGCGGGAAGAAGGCCUUCGGGUUGUAAACCGCUGUCGGGAGUUAGGAAGUGCAAGGAUGUUAAUAGCGUUCUUGCUUGACUAAGGCUCCGGAGGAAGCCACGGCUAACUCUGUGCCAGCAGCCGCGGUAAUACAGAGGCGGCAAGCGUUGUUCGGAAUUAUUGGGCGUAAAGAGCACGUAGGCGGCUAUGUAAGUCGGUUGUGAAAGCCUUCCGCUCAACGGAAGAACAGCAUCCGAUACUACAUGGCUUGAGUGCGGGAGGGGAGAGUGGAACUUCUGGUGGAGCGGUGAAAUGCGUAGAUAUCAGAAGGAACGCCGGCGGCGAAAGCGGCUCUCUGGCCCAUAACUGACGCUGAGUGUGCGAAAGCUAGGGGAGCAAACGGGAUUAGAUACCCCGGUAGUCCUAGCCGUAAACGAUGGGCACUAAGUAGAGGGGUUUU